CUGAGUCCCAUUCCACUACACCACUGCUUUCAGUUUCUCUUUGGCAGCAAUCUCAUGACAGAAGAAAUAAUGAAUGGUCCUUAUAUUCCAUAAGAAAUGUCAAGCAUGUGGUUUGCAAGGAAGAUCGAGGAUUACUUAGCGUAUUUUAACACUAUAAGAACGUGAUAAUUUUUGAGAUUACGCCUUGCAUGGAAUGCGAUUGCUAUCUUUGCGUUAGUUGCGCCGUGUGUUAACAUUGACAAACGACUUAGGGAAGGACAAACAGCUUACAGGAAUCCCAUGAAAUGCCAAUACUGUCACUAAUACUCACUAUAAAUAACAUUAAUAAGACUUCUUAACUUGGAAUAUAUAACACUUCAUUACAUAGUGCUAUCGCAGUAAAUUUGGUUGUUCUUGCAUAUAAGUUCCUCGUAGGAGAUACAGAUUAUACUGAUACAAAAUAGGUUUAGACAACCAGUCCAGGGAGGGCCUCUAAUUAAGCUCUGAACAAAAAGUUGAUUGGAUUCCAUUGGACUAAUUAAAGAUAUUAAGUAUAGCAAAUAGAGGGAGAUUAUAGAGAUAACCUUAUCAUUUGAUCCUCACGUGGUGAAUUUUGCAUUAACUGUUUCCAAUUAUGCUAUCUAAAUGUGGAUAUACCAAGAUUAACAUUCCCUUUUAAGAUUGAAAUCAGUAAAAACUUUUUAAGCCUUUUAACAACUAGAUAUGAAAAUGUUAUUCGCAGUUGACCGGCCUCACCGUAGUCACCGAAAUCAAAACUUCAGCAAUUCGUUCGUACGUGAAAAUGCAUUAAAUGCACCUGACAAUCAAUAUUCUCCCAACUAAUUAAGUUAAACACGAUUUUUGCAUGUCUGCACAUUGUCUCAACUUUUACACUGUCUUUACGUCAAUGAGUCCCGUAAGCUAUGAAUUUGUGAACAAUGGUUUUUAGUAUUAAGAUUAUGACGUCGGUAUAAUGAAAAUUUAUCCCAAUUCUAUAAAUUGGAUCGGAUUUUUGGGUCUAACAUUAAAAUAUUUUUCAAAACGGUAACACUUCAACACCUUCUGAAAUUGGGCAGCAAGUGUACGUAUUUCCAGUCUUACAGAAGACUUCAAGUUUUAUAGACACUGCCGGAAGACAUAGGACUGUUUUUUGGUACAAAUUUACUAUGACUGCACAAAGUUCUUACUAUAUCCUUUUUAAACUGCUAUAGCAGGGUGGACAAUAGCCCCCUUCGAUUCUGCCCCUGGAAAAAUAGGCCCAAAUUUUCAAAAAUGUUCCCCUGGACUACCCAUCCCCGGCAUAAAAUCAGAGGCAAAAAAUCAAUCUGACUUUCUAAGAUCCAUAUUUAAAGUCUAUAAUAUUAAAACUUAUCCAUGCAUUUAAAGUUAGAAACAUACAUUCCCUCUUCAAUGUCUUCCAUAUAUCUCGCGCAUUUGGCAAGCCUGGACACUCCGAAUUUUUCCUACUGUAUUUGCAUGGAAGAAAACAUUUUUCAUUUGCUCCCCUCCCCCUCCGUUUUCUCACGCACACUGACAUACAAAAGGUUGAAUUUGUUUGAUUUGAUUUUCAAUGUUUGCUAAACUGUUUGUCAGGUCAAAUCCUUAACAAUUGGAAACAAAUAUUAAAGAUUGACGGCCAAUUUAUUUAAUUUUUCCAGAAGGAACAUUUCAUGAUAGCUCUUAAAGUUUAAACUGAAGUGUUUGUGCGUAUUCGUCAGUACAAUGGGUCUCAAGAGAACGAUUCUAAUAUACACCCAAUAUUGCUAUAGAUAAUUUCAGCUUAUUGAACAAUACUAGUGUGAACCAUUGUAUGCGUAAGAAUACACUGCGAUUAUAGUUACAAUGUGAC